rnacentral:tRNA from 1 species
ACUAUUUUGGCAGAAUGAGUGUAUUAGAUUUAGAAUCUAUAAAUGUAGGAUAUAAUCUACAAAUAGUA